UUUACGACUAGCACAACUUUCGGUAGUUUGCUAUUAAGGUAGUUUGCUAGUUAUUUAUUUUUUAUUUAACAAAAAUUAAUGGAUUCUUCUUUUGAAUAAGCCGAUUAUGAUAUUUUCAUCAAUAACAAUGAGGUACAACCUUGCAUGUUUGAGCCUUUGGCCAACGCGCAAGGUGGUCAUAGUAAUGACAAUUCUCCGUCAUCGGAAGAUGAAUACAUUCACAGAUUUGGAAAUGUUGAAUGGUGCGAGUGUGGCUUUUGUGUGGUCAUGAGUACAGGACGGGAAAGUAUAUAUGUUGCCAAGAGGUAAGCAACACUGAUCCUCUGAUACAUGGCGAUCAUAUUUGCAUCACACAAGAGGAAGAGUUUGCCACAGUGUGUACAAACGAAGCUGUCAUAAAAACAUCUAUGGUCGUGUACACACAUGACAUUGGACCUAUACCUGAGAGUGAAGAAAACGAAAACAUAACGCUACACGUUGUACCGACAGUGGACGGCUUGGGUGCAUGGCAAGUUGGGAAAAAAGUACAGACUACCCAUACCUUCUUGUGCUGGAGACAAAAUCCGGAAAGCAUUUCCUUCGCCUUCUGGAGAAUACAAAGGAUUUGAAUAUGCUCAACACUACUGAAUGACAUGAAGAGCUUCGGACAGUGUUGGAUUAAUGCGUCUGCAGUACAAAACUUCUUUCAUCAAGUCCUUAACAUAUCCUGAAAAGCAAAUCAUUAUUUAUGUUGGCUUUGCAUUGCACUUUGAGAAAAGGUAAGUUUAUUUUUCUGUGCUAACCAUAAGUGCUGUCAAUUUUCACUGGUUUGAUAUCCCCUUGCCCUUCUUUUGAAUUUGAAUAAGCCACUCUCCAAAUCAAUUCCUCUUCUGUUUCCCCAUCAUUCUUCAUUUUAUGAGCUUUGUUUCCAUUCUCAUUGAAAUGAAGAGCAGCAAUAAACAAUCUACAAAUGAAUGUUAAGUUUAUGUUUACAACUAUUGCAACUUAUUGCUUUUGCAAUGAUGACUUUUUUUAAGUAAUCAUACACAAAUCAUUUUUAUAUUACCUUGCUUACAUUGAUCUGUAGAAAAAAUUAAGUAUGUUUUGGUGCAAAAAGAAUUACCACUCGGUGGAAACCUUUGAUGGAUGAAGUCUGCUUUUGAUAACUGAGUUUUCCAUUAUCUGUCAUGAGAUACUUGGACUCAACAAUCGAAGACAGCUCAACAUAAGCUUUUGAACCUAAGAUCAGAAGCUCUAACAUAUCAUAUUCACAUUUUGGGAAUACAUCACUAUGUCCCUCAUGGAUGUCACAUAUAUGGUUGAGAACUGACAACCACUUUGCCUUGACAAGUUCUUCAUCACCAUUGCUGGAAGCAGCACACCAGUAUACAUGGUUGGAAAUUGAUUGGGCCCAAUCUGACAAUAAUUUGCAACCACUUUUUUUUGAUGCUGCCCAAAUGUUCUUUUUAAUUCCUGUUGGAUUUUGAUUAUUGAUGAAAUGUGUAAAAGGAUUUGAUUUGAGCAUGUCUGUCUGUGGUCAUUGACUUAACCUUCAUCCCACUUUCAUCAAACUUUGCCAGACAUCUUUUUAAUUCCUCAAGUUCCAUUGCUCCAGAGUUGGUCACUUCAUUGGACUGUUUAACAUAAUUAUAUUCCAAAUCCAUGCAGCCAUAUGACCCAUACUUGGCACAAUAUCCAGGAAAUCACAUCUUCCAUUUCUUCCAAGAUGCUCUUGGUGCAUAUGCGAAACAUUUGAAGCACAGCAUGGGUAUCAAAUACGCUGUUUGAAUAUAGCUAUAUGCAUGCUCUGACAGAAAUUGUAUGCUUGAGUGACAAAGGAAUUGAAGAACUUUGCUGGGGCUACUACCACUAAAAAAGAUGCUUGCAGCAAAGACCAAGUUACCCAAAGGCAUUCGCCCAUGCAGAGGUUGGCUAUUCCAGUUUCGAACAUAACCACAAUGACAUUUUGCAAGUACGUUAACCAUACUACCAGUCGUUUUGGUCACAAUGGAACAACUUUCACCACAACAUGGGCAUUGACUCACUAACUGUCUCAGGCAACUAUCAAACACUAUGUAUUUUCUCUCAUUUUGAACAUCUUCCCUAUAACAUAAAAAUUACCAUCAGAAUCAGAGGGAUAAACGUAACGUUCUGAGAAACAUAACAGAGAAAAGCAAUGUAAAGAAUAGUCAGGUGACUGGAUAGUUGGUACUAACGUUGCAUUGUCAUUGUCGGAUUCUUCAUUUUCGCUUAACUCAUUUGAACAUUGAGAGUCUGAUCCAUUGUAGCUAUUGCUCAUCGUCGACGUGCUUUCUGUAUCACACCAUACAGCGCUAUCCUCAAAAUGUUCAAUUUCACAUGAAGUCGUCUGUGUGCUGUGAUUUUUUGUUGAAAUGAACUCAACCUCCGUACCUUAGCAUAAAAUUAUCGUAUUGCUGGAUUUUUCACAAAAAUCAAAACGGCCGAAAUGGAAAGUCUAUACCUCUACUUAUCAUAUUUGGCACUUUUACAAACUUCCUUUGAGGUAAAACGCACAAACAUUUCGAGCCGAUGUCGACACAUCGUGGUCGUUGUCUACAAGAAAGUCGUCAUGUUCUGCAAGAACGUCGUUAAUAAUCUAAAAUUAUAGAAUUGUCUUCAAUUUGGUAAUGCUAUAUAGCUUAGUUUUUGAUAAAUGUAAACAAAUAUUGCUAACUAUAACUAUAAUAUUCACCUCUUGGCUCUUGCCUUCGUCUCUUCUCAAAUGCAGUUCUAACAUUUGUUGGCUGCUUCC